rnacentral:rRNA from 1 species
AUUGAACGCUGGCGGCAUGCUUUACACAUGCAAGUCGAACGGUAACAGGCCGCAAGGUGCUGACGAGUGGCGAACGGGUGAGUAAUGCAUCGGAACGUGCCCAGUCGUGGGGGAUAACUACUCGAAAGAGUAGCUAAUACCGCAUACGAUCUAUGGAUGAAAGCGGGGGACCGUAAGGCCUCGCGCGAUUGGAGCGGCCGAUGUCAGAUUAGGUAGUUGGUGGGGUAAAGGCUCACCAAGCCAACGAUCUGUAGCUGGUCUGAGAGGACGACCAGCCACACGGGGACGGAAAAACGGCCAAGAAGCAUAGGGGAGGCAGCAGGGGGGAAUUUGGGACAAGGGGAGAAAGCCUGAUCCAGAAAUGCCGGGUGGAGGAAGAAGGCCUUGGGGUUGUAAACUGCUUUUGUAGGGAACGAAACUGCUCUGGUAAAUACCCGGGGAUAAUGACGGUACCGAAAGAAGAAGCACCGGAUAAAUACGU